rnacentral:rRNA from 1 species
AGUGAACGCUGGCGGUAGGCCUAACACAUGCAAGUCGAACGGCAGCACAGUAAGAGCUUGCCUUUACGGGUGGCGAGUGGCGGACGGGUGAGGAAUACAUCGGAAUCUACUUUUUCGUGGGGGAUAACGUAGGGAAACUUACGCUAAUACCGCAUACGACCUACGGGUGAAAGCAGGGGAGCUUCGGACCUUGCGCGAUUGAAUGAGCCGAUGUCGGAUUAGCUAGUUGGCGGGGUAAAGGCCCACCAAGCCGACGAUCCGUAGCUGGUCUGAGAGGAUGAUCAGCCACACUGGAACUGAGACACGGUCCAGACUCCUACGGGAGGCAGCAGUGGGGAAUAUUGGACAAUGGGCGCAAGCCUGAUCCAGCCAUACCGCGUGGGUGAAGAAGGCCUUCGGGUUGUAAAGCCCUUUUGUUGGGAAAGAAAAGCAGCAGGUUAAUACCCCGCUGUUCUGACGGUACCCAAAGAAUAAGCACCGGCUAACUUCGUG